AUGUGUUCAUGCCUGUGCCGUGUGUUGGUGUGUGCACACCCAUGUCUUCAUGUGGGUGCAUGUGUGUGCCUGCGGUCUUGUGCGCACCUGUGUGUGCAAGUGUGCCUGUAUGUGUUCACGCCUGUGUCAUGUGUUGGUGUGUGCACACCCAUGUGUUCUUGUGGGUGCCUGUGGUCAUGCAUGCACACGUGUGUGCGUGCACGUGCACACGUGAGCUCUAGCAGGUGUACUUGCUGCUGGCUGGGCAAAGGCCGCAGGGCCGCCGGGCGUGGUCCUGUUCCCGGUCCCCAAGAAGCCCCGAGAGUGAGCAGAUGGGCCACCAGAGGUGGCUCUGGAAACAGGCUGUGGGCCUCAAGCUGUGGCUUUUCAGGGGCUCAGGGUGUUGUCCAGGCUGGGAGGACCCUGGGCUGGCCUGGGAGUGGGGAGAGGGAGAGACGGCCAGUGGUUCCUGGGCUGUCCCUCGGCCAUCCUGUCUGUGGGGCCUCCUGGCUGGCUGGAUGUGGGGCUCAGGGGCUGGAGGCGCGAUCACCCCGCAAUGGAAGUUGGCCCGGAGAGAAUCUAGGGGAGCUGAACCUUCGCUGGCGCUGUGGGGGAGGAGCUGAAGGUGGGAGCCAGAGAGACCCCCAGAGUGGGAAAGGCGCUGGGGGGAAGGAAAGCCACAAAGCCUGGGGGACCUCCAAGGGUCUUGGGCUCGGACGGCAGAGGGUGAGGGGUCCGCAGCCUCCUCGGCCCCUCUCAGCCACCUGCUCCGCCCUGUGCCCCCACCACUCUGCCUUGAGCCGCAGUCACCUCCCCUGGAUGCCCCGCUGGCCCCCAGUUCAUCUCCCUCCCCCACCCCGGCUGCAACCCGCCCUCCUCACUGCAGGCCGAGCUGGGAUCUUCCUGAACGAACGGACCAUCUGCUCACUUCUCACCUCCUGCACCCACCCAGCCCCUGCAGAGGGUGGGCAGCAGCCACAUUUGCCUGCCCAAAGCUCCUGCCGUGACAGGUCCCUGCCGGCCGGUGGCGCCUCACCUCUGUGCUGGGUGGGGUUUCCAUGGUGGAGGCCACUGGGCCUCUCCUGCGGGAGCCCCGGCAUGACCUCGCUCGCAGGACACUUGGCAGGGGAGCAGUGUGGCUGUCAUGGGGGGCAGGGCACCAGGGGCUUUGGCAGAGACGCCCCAGGGGUGCAUGUCUUGGAAGGUGUUAGCCUCUGUAAGCGUCAGGGCUUGGGGCCCUGGGCCGGGGAACCUGACAGGGCAGGUUGGGGGGAAGAGAGAUCAAGGCCCUCGGUGCCUUGGUUUGCUCAUCUGCUAAGUGGGACCACUGAAAGAACUUGUUCAUGA
rnacentral:lncRNA from 1 species